UUUUAUUCUUUUCAGGGGGAGUCAAGUAGCAACACAACGGAUUUGUUGUGCCGUUAACUGAACAAACCCGAAAAAGAAUGGAUGGAAAUUGUAUAGUAUCCGAUUGCUAAAGAAGAUUAUGGCUACAGGAAAACUUUAAGUUCCUUAACCCCAACCCAUUUGUGGAGGAGGACAUUGACAAGAAUGAGGUUGCAUCUGUGGCCUACAGGUAUGCUCCAAACCAUGAGACGUUUAUCCUCAAUGAGGGAAUUGAGCUGUUGACACAAAUUUCCAGACGGUAGAAUGUUGGUAGGUAAGAAAAGCAGAGCCCCCUUGUAUUAGAAAAUGUUUAAUUUUCACAACUUUUUAAAAAUGGCAUUCCUAAAUGAUUAUUUGCAACAGCAAAUUAUUUCACUACAUGCAGGCAACUUCAUGCAGGCCUGUGACUCUUUGGCGCCACCCAGGGGAGGCGGGCCUCACCUAUUGAAAACUUGUUCUAAAAACAAAUAACAAAUCUUCAUAAUUUUGUCCUUAUGGUUGACAUAUACUGUGAAAGGACAACACAACAAAAAGGCAACACAUUGGCACACUGUGUUUUAUGGUUCUACUUUAUUGCACAGAAUCAAAUAUUAACAAUAAAUCUGGAAUUUUACAACAGG